UUGAAGAAGCUUUGGCUAAGAAGCAAUCAGAGGAUAAUGGUGGGCUGACAGACUGUGAGAAAGAUUACGAUAUGCUCCCGAAAGUUGUGGAAUUUUCGGAGCAGAAUGGUGCAAGAGAAGUGAAGCCUAUGAUUGAGCUUCAACCUCAACAAAGUGAGCAACCUGUAAAGGAAAAUCCUUAUGGAUUAAAUAAGGACUUUAUUGACAUGUCGGAUCAGGCUAAUAAAGAAGUUGAGAAUUUGAAUGGAAAACUAUCUGAAUAUGAGAACAGAGAAAAGGAAUGUGAUGAAUCUGCAGGCGGCAAUUUUAAGAUGUGGGAGAGCUGCAAGAUUGAGGAAAAAGACUUCUCUCCUGAUGGAGGACCAGAGCAUGAAUCCUUCGAGGAGGAGCUGGACUCGAAGAUGGAGGGUGGUGACAACUGUGACCAGAUCAAUGGAUCAUUGUCAACAGAAAAUCAUGAAAAUGGUGGAACCUCACCUUCAAAACAGCAAAGUCAGAAGAAGAAGAAACCUUUGCUUCAUAAAUUUGGAAGCCUUCUAAAGAAGAAGGGCACAGGCAACCACAAGUAAUAGAGCAAGCUAUGUAUAGCCCGUUUUGUGUCUGACCAGUAGAGUACGAAGGUAUUCUAGCUUCUAUGUCGCACUUGGAUAUGGUUGAUCCAUGCUUUUUCCUUCAUUUUUUAUCCUUUCUGGGUCUAAAUAUGAAAAGGCCUGUGUUGUCUUUAGAUCCUUUUUCUAACUCUGUAGAUGCUAAUAGCCAUGUUGUGAAUUAAAAUUAAGUUGUUUGGUGUAUUAAUUAUAUAUAUUGUGUUGAAGGUUACUUUACUUUUCUUGUUUUGAGCUUUGCUUUCUUUCUUUCUCUUCCCUCCCCUUUCACAUGCCCAACAAAUUAAUAAAAAUGUGUUGUAAUCAUAUCUAAAUAGGUGGUCUAUUGCACAAAAUUUUGAGAAGAGUAUGGAAUUUCUGAUCAUAUCAAAGUCUGCAGUCAAAUUCCAUGUUUUGGUGACUUUGAGUCUUGUUGCUAAACCAACAACCAUUCUCCUAAUUACUUCUUUUGCUGUCUCCUUCAAUUGUCCUCUCAUGGAACUUUACAUUAAGAAUGCCUUUUUAAAUGCCCACCUACAUCAGAUACUAUAAAUGGAACAGUUUUUACUUCACAAGUCUAUUUAUGGUCUCAAUGGUUUUCUUUGUUGCAAAGCUCAAUCAUCUCCAUCCAUCAAUGUAUACGUUGCUGCGUCAAAGGCACUCUUUUGGACUUCUCAAAGUCAUCUCUAUCGCUGAUUUUUUUUGGUGUCGACUUAGUUGGCUGCCCAAAUAUCCGUUAAUUGCAUCAGUUGUGUAUCGAAGAAACAGCCAACUAUUUAUAGUUCAAGUGCCAAAGCUGAAUCUGCUCAAUGGUUACAACCAUUGCCAAGUUUAAUGGCUACUUUAUCUCUUCCAAGAACUCAAUCUUAAACUAGAACAGGCUCCAACACCUUUUUUGUGACAACAAGAGCACCCUUUAGAUAGCACACAAUCCAGUUUUCCAUGCCUGCGAAAUAGAUUAAAUAAGGACUUUAUUGACAUGUCGGAUCAGGCUAAUAAAGAAGUUGAGAAUUUGAAUGGAAAACUAUCUGAAUAUGAGAACAGAGAAAAGGAAUGUGAUGAAUCUGCAGGCGGCAAUUUUAAGAUGUGGGAGAGCUGCAAGAUUGAGGAAAAAGACUUCUCUCCUGAUGGAGGACCAGAGCAUGAAUCCUUCGAGGAGGAGCUGGACUCGAAGAUGGAGGGUGGUGACAACUGUGACCAGAUCAAUGGAUCAUUGUCAACAGAAAAUCAUGAAAAUGGUGGAACCUCACCUUCAAAACAGCAAAGUCAGAAGAAGAAGAAACCUUUGCUUCAUAAAUUUGGAAGCCUUCUAAAGAAGAAGGGCACAGGCAACCACAAGUAAUAGAGCAAGCUAUGUAUAGCCCGUUUUGUGUCUGACCAGUAGAGUACGAAGGUAUUCUAGCUUCUAUGUCGCACUUGGAUAUGGUUGAUCCAUGCUUUUUCCUUCAUUUUUUAUCCUUUCUGGGUCUAAAUAUGAAAAGGCCUGUGUUGUCUUUAGAUCCUUUUUCUAACUCUGUAGAUGCUAAUAGCCAUGUUGUGAAUUAAAAUUAAGUUGUUUGGUGUAUUAAUUAUAUAUAUUGUGUUGAAGGUUACUUUACUUUUCUUGUUUUGAGCUUUGCUUUCUUUCUUUCUCUUCCCUCCCCUUUCACAUGCCCAACAAAUUAAUAAAAAUGUGUUGUAAUCAUAUCUAAAUAGGUGGUCUAUUGCACAAAAUUUUGAGAAGAGUAUGGAAUUUCUGAUCAUAUCAAAGUCUGCAGUCAAAUUCCAUGUUUUGGUGACUUUGAGUCUUGUUGCUAAACCAACAACCAUUCUCCUAAUUACUUCUUUUGCUGUCUCCUUCAAUUGUCCUCUCAUGGAACUUUACAUUAAGAAUGCCUUUUUAAAUGCCCACCUACAUCAGAUACUAUAAAUGGAACAGUUUUUACUUCACAAGUCUAUUUAUGGUCUCAAUGGUUUUCUUUGUUGCAAAGCUCAAUCAUCUCCAUCCAUCAAUGUAUACGUUGCUGCGUCAAAGGCACUCUUUUGGACUUCUCAAAGUCAUCUCUAUCGCUGAUUUUUUUUGGUGUCGACUUAGUUGCCUGCCCAAAUAUCCAUUAAACCAGUGUCUUCUUAGGAGCGAAUUGCAUCAGUUGUGCAUCGAAGAAACAGCCAACUAUUUAUAGUUCAAGUGCCAAAGCUGAAUCUGCUCAAUGGUUACAACCAUUGCCAAGUUUAAUGGCUACUUUAUCUCUUCCAAGAACUCAAUCUUAAACUAGAACAGGCUCCAGUUUUCCAUGCCUGCGAAAUAAAUUACCAUUUUGUAAGAGAUAUAGAUCUCCUAAACAACUUGCAUUAUCAUGACAGUUUCCCCGAAGCUUGGUUUGAAUCGCCAAGCUUGAGAGGGGGUGGGGUUGAUAAUAUCAAAACAAAAGGCUAUUGCUCUCGUGAAAUUUUAAUCUAGUUUCAAAUUUCAUCGUUGUAUUACGUUUUAUUGCACAAUCUUUCAAUUCGACAGAAAUUAUUCAGUAGUAUCAUAACCAAUCUUUCACGUAAUCUCUAUAAGAUACCUUAGAAGCAAAAAUUUUAAAAUGAGGAUUAUGUAAAGUCUUUCGAUUAAAAGAUCAAAAUAUGAAAUUUUUUUAACACAUUUAUUAUGUGGUUUUUUAUUAAUUGGUAUGCUAUGCAGCAAUGAUGUAGAACAUCGUCUGUAUGCCAGCCAAUUAUUAUUAUUAUUAUUAUUAUUAUUAUUAUUAUUAUUAUUAUUAUUAUAGAGGAUAAUGGUGGGCUGACAGACUGUGAGAAAGAUUACGAUAUGCUCCCGAAAGUUGUGGAAUUUUCGGAGCAGAAUGGUGCAAGAGAAGUGAAGCCUAUGAUUGAGCUUCAACCUCAACAAAGUGAGCAACCUGUAAAGGAAAAUCCUUAUGAAUUAAAUAAGGACUUUAUUGACAUGUCAGAUCAGGCUAAUAAAGAAGUUGAGAAUUUGAAUGGAAAACUAUCUGAAUAUGAGAACAGAGAAAAGGAAUGUGAUGAAUCUGCAGGCGGCAAUUUUAAG
rnacentral:lncRNA from 1 species